AAUAAAUAGCUUCGAGCUAGAUAGCGUCAUGUAUUUGAUGUGUUUAAAAGUAAUCAUGCAUUCAUGAAUAAUUGUGUUAUGGGAAUCAUGUGAAUUCCAAUAAUUGAAGAAAAUGGACUAUGUUUAUGAAAAGUGGCCGAAGAUGGGAUUAUGUUAUCCGAGAUCUGGAGCCCAUAUCCAAACAUGAUAUAAAACUGUGUGACUCCUCUUUAUGGGAGAGAUGGUUGAUGAUAACCAUAUCCUACAUGAUAUAAAACUGUU
rnacentral:lncRNA from 1 species